rnacentral:rRNA from 1 species
CAAACCAAAGCUGGCGACCGGCGCACGGGUGAGUAACACGUAUCCAACCUGCCGAUAACUCGGGGAUAGCCUUUCGAAAGAAAGAUUAAUACCCGAUGGUAUAAUCAGACCGCAUGGUCUUGUUAUUAAAGAAUUUCGGUUAUCGAUGGGGAUGCGUUCCCUUAGGCAGUUGGUGAGGUAACGGCUCACCAAACCUUCGAUGGAUAGGGGUUCUGAGAGGAAGGUCCCCCACAUUGGAACUGAGACACGGUCCAA